rnacentral:rRNA from 1 species
CCUACGGGGGGCAGCCGUGGGGAAUAUUGGACAAUGGGCGAAAGCCUGAUCCAGCCAUGCCGCGUGUGUGAAGAAGGCCUUCGGGUUGUAAAGCACUUUCAGUGGGGAAGAAAGCCUUGGGGCUAAUACCCUCGAGGAAGGACAUCACCCACAGAAGAAGCACCGGCUAACUCCGUGCCAGCAGCCGCGGUAAUACGGAGGGUGCGAGCGUUAAUCGGAAUUACUGGGCGUAAAGCGCGCGUAGGCGGUCUGAUAAGCCGGUUGUGAAAGCCCCGGGCUCAACCUGGGAACGGCAUCCGGAACUGUCAGGCUAGAGUGCAGGAGAGGAAGGUAGAAUUCCCGGUGUAGCGGUGAAAUGCGUAGAGAUCGGGAGGAAUACCAGUGGCGAAGGCGGCCUUCUGGACUGACACUGACGCUGAGGUGCGAAAGCGUGGGUAGCAAACAGGAUUAGAUACCCUAGUAGUC